UACGGAGGGUGCAAGCGUUAUCCGGAUUUACUGGGUUUAAAGGGUGCGCAGGCGGAUAUGUAAGUCAGUGGUGAAAAUCUCUAGGCUUAACCUGGAAAUUGCCGUUGAUACUAUAUAUCUUGAAUGUUGUGGAGGUAAGCAGAAUAUGUCAUGUAGCGGUGAAAUGCUUAGAUAUGACAUAGAAUACCUAUUGCGAAGGCAGCUUACUACGCAGAUAUUGACGCUGAGGCACGAAAGCGUGGGGAUCAAACAGG
rnacentral:rRNA from 1 species